rnacentral:rRNA from 1 species
AGUGAACGCUGGCGGUAGGCCUAACACAUGCAAGUCGAACGGCAGCACAGUAAGAGCUUGCUCUUACGGGUGGCGAGUGGCGGACGGGUGAGGAAUACAUCGGAAUCUACUUUUUCGUGGGGGAUAACGUAGGGAAACUUACGCUAAUACCGCAUACGACCUACGGGUGAAAGCAGGGGAUCUUCGGACCUUGCGCGAUUGAAUGAGCCGAUGUCGGAUUAGCUAGUUGGCGGGGUAAAGGCCCACCAAGGCGACGAUCCGUAGCUGGUCUGAGAGGAUGAUCAGCCACACUGGAACUGUGACACGGUCCAGACUCCUACGGGAGGCAGCAGUGGGGAAUAUUGGACAAUGGGCGCAAGCCUGAUCCAGCCAUACCGCGUGGGUGAAGAAGGCCUUCGGAUUGUAAAGCCCUUUUGUUGGGAAAGAAAAGCAGCAGGUUAAUACCCCGCUGUUCUGACGGUACCCAAAGAAUAAGCACCGGCUAACUUCGUG